CUCUUUAAAAUCUUCCCCAUCAUCAAAAACGUGUAUUCAUUUUGGGCCACCGAAUUUUCAGGCUUCUGUUCCUUUGUUCCUUUUUUUUUUUUGUCUGAAUAUCAUCAUUAUCAUGGGAACUCUGUACCGGUUCGGGAUUUGAUGCUCUGCAAAACUGCAACCAACAACCACAACUCACAUGUUCUUGAGAAUUUGACUGAAUUGAGUAUUCUAAAUCACACAGAAGCUGUGUGACAAGUAGUCCAAGCCUCACCUGUUUAUAAUUUUCGGUUGCUCGAACUUGUUCUUUCCGUGUCCCAUCUCUCUGAAAACUAUCUAGCUCUGUAUUCUCUCCUCACCCAAACUCGUAUAUUUUUCUCCCUAAAUUUGAGACUGAUGAGCUAAAAUGGCACGACUGGACCAUACUUAUACUUUGCACAGAUAUCAUGUUAUGGCAGCUGGCGUUAAAAGUUUUGGUGCUUUUGGAAUGGGAGGUUUAGGAAAAUUAAAGAAGACCCUUCAAAGGGUGGAGUUUCAAACAACUGAAUAUGUUCCUAGCUAGCAAAGGAGGAUCAACUGUAUGAUCUCACAAUAUAUGGAAAUUACAUGCAGUGUGGUGUUGUGAGUGUAUAGAUAAGAGCAAGAGUAUGCCAGAAAGAAGUGAAACGGCCAAGGUCCAGCGACACCGGUCUCCUUAAACCCGCAUCACCUGACAAGCCCUGCCCAAGCAAUCCCCUUCCAUGGAAGAGCCACGUCCACGACCAAUAUCCACCGAUGAAUCGCGAUUACUGUCAUGACAAUCCACAUCCACUGCCGCCGAAUCCCCACUGUCCUCUGUGGAACGACCUCAACCUCUCCCAACACCGUAACCCUCUUCGAAAUCCCUCUCUCUCUCCAUCGCCUCCUAGCUGUAAGAUCGAGCAAUGACAAGCUUAGAACAUGGCUGCUAAUAUGCCUCUUAUAUGUUUUGUUUCAAUUAAUUGCCCCACUGGUUUGUCGAUCGUUAAGGGUUAGUCCUUGAAAGAUUUAGAAAGAUCAUUGACCAUCCUUCUCUUAUUGCAGCAUCUGUGAUCUGUUAUUGAAAUUUCAAAAUUAUAAUUCCUCAUA